GACGGAGGAUGCAAGUGUUAUCCGGAAUCACUGGGCGUAAAGCGUCUGUAGGUGGUCAAAUAAGUCAACUGUUAAAUCUUGAGGCUCAACCUCAAAAUCGCAGUCGAAACUAUUAGACUAGAGUAUAGUAGGGGUAAAGGGAAUUUCCAGUGGAGCGGUGAAAUGCGUAGAGAUUGGAAAGAACACCGAUGGCGAAGGCACUUUACUGGGCUGACACUGACGCUCAUGCACGAAAGCGUGGGGAGCAAACAGG
rnacentral:rRNA from 1 species